AACGAACGCUGGCGGCAUGCCUAACACAUGCAAGUCGAACGAGACCUUCGGGUCUAGUGGCGCACGGGUGCGUACCGCGUGGGAACCUGCCCUUAGGUUCGGAAUAACUCCCCGAAAGGGGUGCUAAUACCGGAUAAUGUCUUCGGACCAAAGAUUUAUCGCCUUUGGAUGGGCCCGCGUUGGAUUGGCUAGUUGGUAGGGUAAAAGCCUACCAAGGCGACGAUCCAUAGCUGGUCUGAGAGGAUGAUCAGCCACACUGGGACUGAGACACGGCCCAGACUCCUACGGGAGGCAGCAGUGGGGAAUAUUGGACAAUGGGCGAGAGCCUGAUCCAGCAAUGCCGCGUGAGUGAUGAAGGCCUUAGGGUUGUAAAGCUCUUUUACCCGGGAUGAUAAUGACAGUACCGGGAGAAUAAGCGCCGGCUAACUCCGUG
rnacentral:rRNA from 1 species